rnacentral:rRNA from 1 species
CACGUAGGGGGCAAGCGUUGUCCGGAUUUAUUGGGCGUAAAGAGCUCGUAGGUGGUUCGGUAAGUCGGGUGUGAAACCUCCAGGCUCAACCUGGAGACGCCACUCGAUACUGCUGUGACUAGAGUUCGGUAGGGGAUCACGGAAUUCCUGGUGUAGCGGUGAAAUGCGCAGAUAUCAGGAGGAACACCGGUGGCGAAGGCAGGUCUCUGGGCCAUAACUGACGCUGAGAAGCGAAAGCAUGGGGAGCGAACAGG